UUUUAAGUAACUAAUAAAGUGUUGAACUUUUAAUUCAAAAAUGGAGUAACUCCCUAAAAUG
rnacentral:tRNA from 1 species